ensembl:lncRNA
GUUGAACGCGUCAUGUCAUGUGAGAACUGUCCUACUCCAUUGUGAAAGCCCCUUUAAAAACUCGUAUUAAAGAUGAAUUUCAUACUUUACUUUCUUACUUCUCUGUGACUUGACAAUAUCCAGAAAAAUCCCGGGGAGACGAGUUCAGAGUUGUCGCGAUGCAACGAUGCCACCCUUACAGACUGGGAAGGAAAAAUGGGAUAUCCUGGUGAUGGGAUGAGAUGCAGAAACACCACCAGUGCCUAGGACAUAAAGUGAAGGCUGUUAAAGACUGUAACUAAGGAUGCCAGGAUCUGCAUUUGGGAUUGAGUGUUUAUGAUGGGCCACAUCUCUCUUUGAGGCAAGAGUCAAGCGGCAGCAGACUUCUCAAGAGACACGGAGAGAAGGCUUGUCAUCAAGGGCCUCUUAGGUCAAGCUUAUGUGGCCAGAAAAAAAUCUUUUAGCAUGUUCUCUAGUAGCAGCUUCCUCACCCUUCAUUUCAAAACUGAUAAAUCUGUGGGAUAACGAGGCUUCAAAAUCCUUCUUGAGGAGCUGUAUCAGCAGCCAACACAAAGUGAGAUGGAAGGCAGCAGCCAAUGUAAGUAAUGAUCUGGAUCUUUCCCUGUCUGCUUUGCAAAGAAGUCCUGUUGCUAAAGUAGAAUUGAAGAUUACAGGCAGGUAAAUUUGUAAUUUUUUCUGCUUUUCCCCUAAAGCUAUUGCCCUAAGAUGGUGUCAGGAUAGUCUCCUGUGCUCUCGUGUAUCUAAAACUGUAGCAAGUUAAUUCAGUGCUCACUCCAGGCACUUCUCAUUAGGCGGUAGUCCUCGUAUCUGCAGUUCUUACCAUCACUAAGCCAAAUAUAGAAACGUUCCUGAGGGAUGACUGUUUCCCUAAGCAAAAGACUAACCAAAAAUGUAGUUUCACGUGGAUGUGUAUUGGGAACAAUUGGUCUCACCAUAUAACUGGCCUCUGAUUAAUUAAUAACUACUCUCUGGAACUGGACACUUAUAAACAGGAAGCAGAAAGCCAAACAGUUCAGUCCAUCUGUGCUAACGUUUGCUUGAGAGCUUGGCUCCUCUUACUACAGGGUCAUGGCUUUUCCUGGGGCACAGAAAAGGGAUAAAAGGAGCCUGUUAUAAAAAGUUUAGCUCUCAUCACAUGAUCCAGAAGCCCCGCUGUGAAUGAAAGGGAAUAGGGGAUGUGUUGUACAUCAGCCCUUAAAGCUCUCUAUAGGUUUCUCCAAGCCAGCUCUGCCAAUUGGAAGUAUUUCAUGGAGUUCUUUUGUUAAGCAUUUUUUUUUCUUGCCUACCCUCAUCCUCUGUAUUACUGACAUCUGAGGAGAGUAAAUACUGCUCACUUACAGUUUUCUUUCCUUUCUCAUGCUAACACUUUUUGUGAUCAAUGAAAGCUGAUGAUGGUGGAAUUGCAGUUAUUUAUGCUCUGUUUAAUUUGCUGUUACUGGAGCUGGUUGAGAACAUCUAACGAACGAAUUUUGGAAAAUGGAAACUUAGUAUAAGGGAUAUGCUUCAAAAAGAACAGCUUUGACUUAAAAUUAAUAAAUAAAUCAAAGAAUGCUUCUUACCUGAGAUAUGCCACUUCCUGAAAAACAUGUAGGAGAACACUUACACAUGACACAAUGGCCAGCCUCUACACAUCUAAGAUGUCAAGGUUCAAGUCCUUCCUAAAUUGGUAUUAGCUCACGUUUUUAUUUUUUAGUACAGAAUAUAUGGAUAUCUUCUGUUCUUCUGAAGAGAAAAAUGCUUCCAACUCUCCAACACAGACAUGUCAAUCCCACCAGAGGGCUGUUUUGGAACCUUUGGAUGUAUCUAUUGAGAACAAGUCUGUUAUUAGUUUGGUGUUGAAGCACACCAGCUCAGUCCGUUUCCUUUAUUUUUGAAAAAAUAGAUGCUAAUAGUAUGGAAAUAACUCUAGAGAAAUGCACAUUUCCAGUGGUGGAUCCAUUCCAUGUGCUGGAGCCUGAAACAAGUGCAGAAGUGGGGAAGCCAGUGGGAAGCCUUGGUUGGCUGAGUGCAGCUGAGCAGCCCUGAUGUCCUGGACCCGGCUGGCCAACCUGCAGUACAAUGGUCAGCAGUUCUGUGGAGGCUUUCUGACUGAUGGAAAAAUGAGUUCUGACAGCUGCACACUGCAACAUCAGAGAUAAGAGUAUGCUGUGGACCACGUCAAAGGCCUUGCAGAAGAUCAGGUAGAUGACAUCAGUCAUACCUGCUUUGUCCACCAAAGCCAUCACUCUGCUGUAGAAGGCUACCAGAUUGGUCAGACAUGAUCUGAUCUUGGUGAAGCUGUGUUGUCUCAGACUACUUCCUCAUCUUGUACGUGACUUAACAUUGCUUCCGGAAAUAUCUGCAUGAUCUUCCCAGGCACAGAGGUGCUGCCAGCAGAGGUGUUCAACAUCAGAAGGCAAGAUCUCCUUAGCCACCAACUAUUCCACAGGCCCAAAGGCUGGGAUAUUCUAUGAUUCUGUGACCAUUCCGGACAUAUUUGUACAGUCAGGAAGAAGCAUGGUGUCACAGUACUGAGAAAGGA